AACGAACGCUGGCGGCAGGCUUAACACAUGCAAGUCGAGCGAGACCUUCGGGUCUAGCGGCGGACGGGUGAGUAACGCGUGGGAACGUGCCCUUCUCUACGGAAUAGCCCCGGGAAACUGGGAGUAAUACCGUAUACGCCCUUUGGGGGAAAGAUUUAUCGGAGAAGGAUCGGCCCGCGUUGGAUUAGGUAGUUGGUGGGGUAAUGGCCCACCAAGCCGACGAUCCAUAGCUGGUUUGAGAGGAUGAUCAGCCACACUGGGACUGAGACACGGCCCAGACGCAGAGGGGGGGCGGGGGUGGGGAAUCUGAGAGACGGGGGGCCAGCCGGAGGGGGUCAGGCGUGGUGGGGAAGGAAGGGGUGUGGGUUGUAAAGUGCUUUGAGGGGGGAAGAGGACGAGGGUAGGAGAACAGGGGGCCCCGGCUAAGUAGGGUGCGGGAGCUGCGGUGAUAAGUGAGAAGAGCCGAAGCAGAGU
rnacentral:rRNA from 1 species